GACGAACGCUGGCGGCGUGCUUAACACAUGCAAGUCGAACGGAAAGGCCCUGCUUUUGUGGGGUGCUCGAGUGGCGAACGGGGGAGUAACACGUGAGUAACCUGCCCUUGACUUUGGGAUAACUUCAGGAAACUGGGGCUAAUACCGGAUAGGAGCUCCUGCUGCAUGGUGGGGGGUGGAAAGUUUCGGCGGUUGGGGAUGGACUCGCGGCUUAUCAGCUUGUUGGUGGGGUAGUGGCUUACCAAGGCUUUGACGGGUAGCCGGCCUGGGAGGGUGACCGGCCACAUUGGGCCUGCGAUACGGCCCAGACUCCUACGGGAGGCAGUAGUGGGGAAUAUUGCACAAUGGGCGGAAGCCUGAUGCAGCAACGCCGCGUGCGGGAUGACGGCCUUCGGGUUGUAAACCGCUUUCGCCUGUGACGAAGCGUGAGUGACGGUAAUGGGUAAAGAAGCACCGGCUAACUACGUG
rnacentral:rRNA from 1 species